rnacentral:rRNA from 1 species
GAGCUCGUAGGCGGUUUGUCGCGUCUGCUGUGAAAUCCCGAGGCUCAACCUCGGGCUUGCAGUGGGUACGGGCAGACUAGAGUGCGGUAGGGGAGAUUGGAAUUCCUGGUGUAGCGGUGGAAUGCGCAGAUAUCAGGAGGAACACCGAUGGCGAAGGCAGAUCUCUGGGCCGUAACUGACGCUGAGGAGCGAAAGCAUGGGGAGCGAACAGGAUUAGAUACCCUGGUAGUCCAUGCCGUAAACGUUGGGCGCUAGAUGUAGGGACCUUUCCACGGUUUCUGUGUCGUAGCUAACGCAUUAAGCGCCCCGCCUGGGGAGUACGGCCGCAAGGCUAAAACUCAAAGGAAUUGACGGGGGCCCGCACAAGCGGCGGAGCAUGCGGAUUAAUUCGAUGCAACGCGAAGAACCUUACCAAGGCUUGACAUACACCGGAAACGGCCAGAGAUGGUCGCCCCCUUGUGGUCGGUGUACAGGUGGUGCAUGGUUGUCGUCAGCUCGUGUCGUGAGAUGUUGGGUUAAGUCCCGCAACGAGCGCAACCCUCGUUCUAUGUUGCCAGCGGGUCAUGCCGGGGACUCAUAGGAGACUGCCGGGGUCAACUCGGAGGAAGGUGGGGAUGACGUCAAAUCAUCAUGCCCCUUAUGUCUUGGGCUUCACGCAUGCUACAAUGGCCGGUACAAAGGGCUGCGAUACCGUAAGGUGGAGCGAAUCCCAAAAAGCCGGUCUCAGUUCGGAUUGAGGUCUGCAACUCGACCUCAUGAAGUCGGAGUCGCUAGUAAUCGCAGAUCAGCAACGCUGCGGUGAAUACGUUCCCGGGCCUUGUACACACCGCCCGUC